GACGAACGCUGGCGGCGUGCUUAACACAUGCAAGUCGUACGGUAAGGCCCUUUCGGGGGUACACGAGUGGCGAACGGGUGAGUAACACGUGAGUAACCUGCCCACAACUUUGGGAUAACGCUAGGAAACUGGUGCUAAUACUGGAUAUGUGCCCCUGCUGCAUGGUGGGGGUUGGAAAGCUCCGGCGGUUGUGGAUGGACUCGCGGCCUAUCAGCUUGUUGGUGGGGUAGUGGCCUACCAAGGCGGCGACGGGUAGCCGGCCUGAGAGGGUGACCGGCCACAUUGGGACUGAGAUACGGCCCAGACGCCUACGGGAGGCAGCAGUGGGGAAUAUUGCACAAUGGGCGCAAGCCUGAUGCAGCAACGCCGCGGGCGGGAUGACGGCCUUCGGGUUGUAAACCGCUUUCAGCAGGGACGAAGCUUUUUGUGACGGUACCUGCAGAAGAAGCACCGGCUAACUACGUG
rnacentral:rRNA from 1 species